rnacentral:rRNA from 1 species
UGCCAGCCGCCGCGGUAACACGAACCGUACGAACGUUAUUCGGAAUUACUGGGCUUAAAGAGUUCGUAGGCGGCUUGGUAAGUCGGGUGUGAAAUCCCUCAGCUCAACUGAGGAACUGCGCCCGAUACUGUCAAGCUUGAGGGAGAUAGGGGUGAGCGGAACUGAUGGUGGAGCGGUGAAAUGCGUUGAUAUCAUCAGGAACACCGGUGGCGAAAGCGGCUCACUGGGUCUCUUCUGACGCUGAGGAACGAAAGCUAGGGGAGCGAACGGGAUUAGAUA